rnacentral:ncRNA from 1 species
GACUGACUCAAAGAUCCCGGAUGCGCAAUAUGGUUAUGAGAAAGGGCUCACCAUCGGGCUAGCCGCGCUUUCAGGCGCAAACCGGGUCUGCG